UGUUACAAUAUAUCCCAUGCCAACUUAAAAACCCUAACUCCAAAAAUACCCUCCUAAAAGCUAAUUCUGGUUUCACCCGAUUCCAUUUUUCCCAAAUUCAAAACAAGACUAUAAACAAUCAUGUCUUUAAGUGUAGGUAGAAAAGAAACCCAUCAGCCAACGCCACCGACCGCUAGUCAUAACGGAAAUGGCGUGGCGGUUUUGCCGAUGACGCACCGGUUACGUCUGAACCCUAAUACCGAGCACAAGCCGGAGAGCUACGAGGGUUUGCAGUUGGAGUUCAGUCCGCUUCUGUUCAGCUCCCUGGAACGUUACUUGCCUCCUCCUAUGCUCUCACUCCCUCGCGACUCCAAGCUCCGUUACAUGCGCGACAUUAUCCUUCGUUACUCUCCUGAAGGCGAACGUACUCGCGUUCAAAGGCAUCGAGAAUACAGGCAGAAGAUUAUAUCGCACUAUCAGCCUCUGCAUAGGGAGUUGUAUGCCAUGCAUGCCUCAAACUUCUUUGUCCCCUCAUUUCUGAAAGCAAUUAAUGAGAAUAAAGUGGAAAGCUUUAGAAGUAUAAUGGCUGAACCUACACUAGGGGUUUUUACAUUUGAAAUGCUUCAGCCCCGUUUCUGUGAAAUGUGGUUAUCUGAGGUAGAAAACUUCGAAAAGUGGGUCCAAGAGACAAAAUUUAGAAUCAUGCGACCAAACACAAUGAACAAAUUUGGUGCUGUUUUAGAUGACUUUGGUCUGGAGACCAUGCUUGACAAGUUGAUGGAGGACUUUAUCCGACCUAUAUCCAAAGUUUUCUUUUCUGAUGUGGGUGGAUCUACGCUGGAUUCGCAUCAUGGUUUUGUUGUUGAAUAUGGAAUUGACAGGGAUGUUGAGCUUGGUUUCCAUGUGGAUGAUUCAGAAGUCACCUUAAAUGUUUGCUUGGGUAAACAAUUUUCUGGUGGAGAAUUGUUCUUUCGGGGCGUUCGGUGUGAUAAACAUGUCAAUACGGAAACCCAGUCAGAUGAAAUUUUGGAUUAUUCACAUGUUCCAGGACGUGCAGUUCUUCACCGAGGGCGCCAUAGGCAUGGUGCAAGAGCCACAACAUCUGGUCAUCGGGUCAACUUACUUUUGUGGUGCAGAAGCAUUGAAGAAAUCUUAGAGGAAACCAAAGAAUUCAGAUGUGUUUGGCCAAAUUAUUUAAACUGCAUGCAAAAUUUUCUUCUAGUUCGGUCUUCCGUGAGCUGAGGAAAUAUCAGAAAGAUUUCUCAAGCUGGUGUGGAGAGUGCCAACGUGAGAAAAAAGAAAGGCAGUGUGUCUCAAUUGCAGCUACCAAACAGGAACUACUGAAGAGGGAAGCGACGUGAACUCGAGCUUCUUACAAGUUUCGGCUUGUGAAAUUGUAAAAUAGCUGGAUCCUUGCCAUUAUCACAAGCACUUUUGCCAAAUCGGGUUGGAGUGUUGUGUCUUCGUUGACUCCAAUGCUGUACAUACGCAUCUUGUCUGAGCGUCCUGGCCGAUUAUCAGCCACCUACAGCCAUAACUAAACUGUUUCUGUAGUUACAGUUCAAUGUGUUUUUGCACUUUAGAAUGGCAGUAGUUUCUUCAAAUAGAGUCCAUCGUUUGUUGUUGGAUACAAUGUUGUUUUCGGGGCUGUUUUGAGCAUCUGGAUAUUUGUUGACAAGGUUUCUUGUAAGUAAUCAUCAUAAGCUAAGUGAUGGGGCCUGCGGGAACAAUAUUUAUUUGAUACUCUCUUUCAUCUUUUUUCCUUUGUUCUUUUUGUUUUUU